rnacentral:rRNA from 1 species
AGUGAACGCUGGCGGUAGGCCUAACACAUGCAAGUCGAACGGCAGCACAGUAAGAGCUUGCUCUUACGGGUGGCGAGUAGCGGACGGGUGAGGAAUACAUCGGAAUCUACUUUUUCGUGGGGGAUAACGUAGGGAAACUUACGCUAAUACCGCAUACGACCUACGGGUGAAAGCAGGGGAUCUUCGGACCUUGCGCGAAUGAAUGAGCCGAUGUCGGAUUGGCUAGUUGGCGGGGUAAAGGCCCACCAAGGCGACGAUCCUUAGCUGGUCUGAGAGGAUGGCCGGCAACAUGGGAACGGAGACACGGCCCAGACCCCUACGGGAGGAGGCGGUGGGGAAUAUUGGACAAUGGGGGCAAGCCUGAUCCAGAACUACCGCGUGGGUGAAGAAGGCCUUCGGGUUGUAAAGCCCUUUUGUAGAGAAAGAAAAGCAGCAGGUUAAUACGCCGCUGUUCUGACGGUACCCAAAGAAUAAGCACCGGCUAACUUCGUG